rnacentral:rRNA from 1 species
GACCUUAGAGUUUGAUUCUGGCUCAGGACGAACGCUGGCGGCGUGCCUAAUACAUGCAAGUCGAGCGGACAAAAGGGAGCUUGCUUCCUGAUGUUAGCGGCGGACGGGUGAGUAACACGUGGGUUACCUGCCUGUAAGACUGGGAUAACUUCGGGAAACCGGGGGUAAUUCCGGAUGCUUGAUUGAACCGCAUGGUUCAAAUAUAAAAGGUGGGUUUUAGCUAUCACUUACAGAUGGACCCGCGGCGCAUUAGCUAGUUGGUGAGGUAACGGCUCACCAAGGCGACGAUGCGUAGCCGACCUGAGAGGGUGAUCGGCCACACUGGGACUGAGACACGGCCCAGACUCCUACGGGAGGCAGCAGUAGGGAAUCUUCCGCAAUGGACGAAAGUCUGACGGAGCAACGCCGCGUGAGUGAUGAAGGUUUUCGGAUCGUAAAACUCUGUUGUUAGGGAAGAACAAGUACCGUUCGAAUAGGGCGGUACCUUGACGGUACCUAACCAGAAAGCCACGGCUAACUACGUGCCAGCAGCCGCGGUAAUACGUAGGUGGCAAGCGUUGUCCGGAAUUAUUGGGCGUAAAGCGCGCGCAGGCGGUUUCUUAAGUCUGAUGUGAAAGCCCCCGGCUCAACCGGGGAGGGUCAUUGGAAACUGGGGAACUUGAGUGCAGAAGAGGAGAGUGGAAUUCCACGUGUAGCGGUGAAAUGCGUAGAGAUGUGGAGGAACACCAGUGGCGAAGGCGACUCUCUGGUCUGUAACUGACGCUGAGGCGCGAAAGCGUGGGGAGCGAACAGGAUUAGAUACCCUGGUAGUCCACGCCGUAAACGAUGAGUGCUAAGUGUUAGAGGGUUUCCGCCCUUUAGUGCUGCAGCGGAACGCAUAGUCAUCGCAGAUGAGCAUUGCUGACGGU